rnacentral:rRNA from 1 species
CAGGCCUAACACAUGCAAGUCGAACGGGCACCUUCGGGUGUCAGUGGCAGACGGGUGAGUAACACGUGGGAACGUACCCUUCGGUUCGAAAUAACUCAGGGAAACUUGAGCUAAUACCGGAUACGCCCUUUUGGGGAAAGGUUUACUGCCGAAGGAUCGGCCCGCGUCUGAUUAGCUUGUUGGUGGGGUAACGGCCUACCAAGGCGACGAUCAGUAGCUGGUCUGAGAGGAUAAUCAGCCACACUGGGACUGAGACACGGCCCAGACUCCUACGGGAGGCAGCAGUGGGGAAUAUUGGACAAUGGGCGCAAGCCUGAUCCAGCCAUGCCGCGUGAGUGAUGAAGGCCUUAGGGUUGUAAAGCUCUUUUGUCCGGGACGAUAAUGACGGUACCGGAAGAAUAAGCCCCGGCUAACUUCGUGCCAGCAGCCGCGGUAAU